GAGCAGCCGCGGUAAUACGUAUGGUGCAAGCGUUAACCGGAUUUACUGGGUGUAAAGGGAGCGUAGACGGUGUGGCAAGUCUGAUGUGAAAGGCAUGGGCUCAACCUGUGGACUGCAUUGGAAACUGUCAUACUUGAGUGUCGGAGUGGUAAGUGGAAUUCCCAGUGUAGCGGUGAAAUGCGUAGAUAUUGGGAGGAACACCAGUGGCGAAGGCGGCUUACUGGACGAUGACUGACGUUGAGGCUCGAAAGCGUGGGGAGCAAACAGGAUUAGAUACCCUGGUAGUCCACGCCGUAAACGAUGACUACUAGGUGUCGGGGAGCAAAGCUCUUCGGUGCCGCAGCAAACGCAAUAAGUAGUCCACCUGGGGAGU
rnacentral:rRNA from 1 species